rnacentral:rRNA from 1 species
GAGUAACGCGUGGGUAACCUGCCUUGUACUGGGGGACAACAGUUGGAAACGACUGCUAAUACCGCAUAAGCGCACAGCUUCGCAUGAAGCAGUGUGAAAAACUCCGGUGGUACAAGAUGGACCCGCGUCUGAUUAGCUGGUUGGUGAGGUAACGGCCCACCAAGGCGACGAUCAGUAGCCGGCCUGAGAGGGUGAACGGCCACAUUGGGACUGAGACACGGCCCAAACUCCUACGGGAGGCAGCAGUGGGGAAUAUUGCACAAUGGGGGAAACCCUGAUGCAGCAACGCCGCGUGAGUGAAGAAGUAUUUCGGUAUGUAAAGCUCUAUCAGCAGGAAAGAAAAUGACGGUACCUGACUAAGAAGCCCCGGCUAACUACGUGCCAGCAGCCGCGGUAAUACGUAGGGGGCAAGCGUUAUCCGGAUUUACUGGGUGUAAAGGGAGCGUAGACGGUUUUGCAAGUCUGAAGUGAAAGCCCGGGGCUUAACCCCGGGACUGCUUUGGAAACUGUGGGACUAGAGUGCAGGAGAGGUAAGUGGAAUUCCUAGUGUAGCGGUGAAAUGCGUAGAUAUUAGGAGGAACACCAGUGGCGAAGGCGGCUUACUGGACUGUAACUGACGUUGAGGCUCGAAAGCGUGGGGAGCAAACAGGAUUAGAUACCCUGGUAGUCCACGCCGUAAACGAUGAUUACUAGGUGUUGGUGGGUACGACCCAUCGGUGCCGCAGCAAACGCAAUAAGUAAUCCACCUGGGGAGUA